rnacentral:rRNA from 1 species
GACGAACGCUGGCGGCGUGCCUAAUACAUGCAAGUAGAACGCUGAAGGAGGAGCUUGCUUCCCUGGAUGAGUGGCGAACGGGUGAGUAACGCGUAGGUAACCUGCCUGUUAGCGGGGGAUAACUAUUGGAAACGAUAGCUAAUACCGCAUAAGAGUAGAUGUUGCAUGACAUUCGAUUAAAAGGUGCAAUUGCAUCACUACCAGAUGGACCUGCGUUGUAUUAGCUAGUUGGUGGGGUAACGGCUCACCAAGGCGACGAUACAUAGCCGACCUGAGAGGGUGAUCGGCCACACUGGAACUGAGACACGGCCCAGACUCCUACGGGAGGCAGCAGUAGGGAAUCUUCGGCAAUGGACGGAAGUCUGACCGAGCAACGCCGCGUGAGUGAAGAAGGUUUUCGGAUCGUAAAGCUCUGUUGUUAGGGAAGAACGUGUGUGUGAGUGGAAAGUUCCCACUGUGCGGGUAUCGUACAAGAAGCGGCCGGCUACCUCCUU